rnacentral:rRNA from 1 species
GGACUACACGGGUAUCUAAUCCCGUUCGCUCCCCUAGCUUUCGCACAUGAGCGUCAGUUCCGAGCCAGGAUGCUGCCUUCGCCUUUGGUGUUCUUCCAGAUCUCUACGCAUUUCACCGCUCCACCUGGAAUUCCGCAUCCCUCUCUCGUCCUCAAGUCUUUCAGUUUUCCAAGGCCUGUGGGAGUUGAGCCCCCACCUGUCACUCGAAACUUCAAAGACCGCCUGCGUGCGCUUUACGCCCAAUAAAUCCGGACAACGCUUGCCCCCUACGUAUUACCGCGGCGGCUGGCAC